rnacentral:rRNA from 1 species
AUGGGAAGUCAUGCGGAAUCCCUACAUGUGCAUGAUGUCAUGGUACGGGCUAUUGUGCCUCAAGCCCGUCCGUGGGAAGUGCUUAGGUGGUGCUGUGUGGAGAGGUGCCCAAAAGUGGAUACCAUCUUCCCUGGGAAUUCAUACAAAUUUACUGCAUUGGAGACCUUCUGGGUGUCGGAUCUCCUAAUGGCCCGCUCAAUUUUGAGUAAAGUUUCACGCCUUAAUCGAUAUGGCAGUACUGGAUCCUUCCAAAAUUUACAGCACCUUCAGCUGCGUUCAUGCCCCAGCCUCCAGUUUGUGCUCCCUUUGUGGGUCUCCUCCUUCCCCAGCUUGGAGACCCUCCACAUCAUCCACUGCGGCAACCUCAGCCACGUCUUCGUACAGGACGAAAAAUACCCUAAAGAAAUGACUACCUUUGGUGUACUAUUCCCGAAGCUGGCGACCAUCCACCUGCACGACCUCCCGAAGCUGCAGGAGAUAUGCGAGGUCGAGAUGGUGGCCCCUGCGCUUAAGAGCCUCAAGAUCAGGGGAUGCUGGAGCCUGCGCAGGCUGCCAUCCGUGGGUGCCCGUGGCCGUGGCGAGAAGAAGCCGGCCGUCGAGAUUGAGAAGGACGUGUGGGACGCUCUAGAGUGGGAUGCCAGUCACCGCCCUGACCACUUCGAGGCGCCGGUCCACUCGCGCUACUACAAGGAGAAGCUGCCCAGGGUGUCCGUCCUCAGGUACUAA